rnacentral:rRNA from 1 species
GUGGGGAAUAUUGGACAAUGGGCGCAAGCCUGAUCCAGCCAUACCGCGUGGGUGAAGAAGGCCUUCGGGUUGUAAAGCCCUUUUGUUGGGAAAGAAAUCCUAUCGAUUAAUACUCGGUGGGGAUGACGGUACCCAAAGAAUAAGCACCGGCUAACUUCGUGCCAGCAGCCGCGGUAAUACGAAGGGUGCAAGCGUUACUCGGAAUUACUGGGCGUAAAGCGUGCGUAGGUGGUUGUUUAAGUCUGCUGUGAAAGCCCUGGUCUCAACCUGGGAAUUGCAGUGGAUACUGGGCAACUAGAGUGUGGUAGAGGGAUGCGGAAUUUCUGGUGUAGCAGUGAAAUGCGUAGAGAUCAGAAGGAACAUCCGUGGCGAAGGCGGCAUCCUGGGCCAACACUGACACUGAGGCACGAAAGCGUGGGGAGCAAACAGGAUUAGAAACCCGGGUAGUCC